rnacentral:misc_RNA from 1 species
UCCGGGUUUGUCACGGCAGUCCGCCUAGAAAAUCCAACUAGGCGCGGGGGUUGCGCUCGUUGCGGGACUUAACCCAACACCUCACGGCACGAGCUGACGACAACCAUGCACCACCUGUGAACCGGCCCCAAAGGGGAAACCACAUCUCUGCAGCAGUCCGGUCCAUGUCAAGCCUUGGUAAGGUUCUUCGCGUUGCAUCGAAUUAAUCCGCAUGCUCCGCCGCUUGUGCGGGCCCCCGUCAAUUCCUUUGAGUUUUAGCCUUGCGGCCGUACUCCCCAGGCGGGGUGCUUAAUGCGUUAGCUUCGGCACGGACGGAGUCGACACCGCCCACACCUAGCACCCAUCGUUUACGGCGUGGACUAC